GAUGAACGCUAGCGGGAGGCCUAACACAUGCAAGCCGAGCGGUAUUGUUUCUUCGGAAAUGAGAGAGCGGCGUACGGGUGCGGAACACGUGUGCAACCUGCCUUUAUCUGGGGGAUAGCCUUUCGAAAGGAAGAUUAAUACUCCAUAACAUAUUGAUUGGCAUCAAUUAAUAUUGAAAGCUCCGGCGGAUAGAGAUGGGCACGCGCAAGAUUAGCUAGUUGGUGAGGUAACGGCUCACCAAGGCGAUGAUCUUUAGGGGGCCUGAGAGGGUGAUCCCCCACACUGGUACUGAGACACGGACCAGACUCCUACGGGAGGCAGCAGUGAGGAAUAUUGGUCAAUGGGUGCAAGCCUGAACCAGCCAUCCCGCGUGAAGGACGACUGCCCUAUGGGUUGUAAACUUCUUUUGUAUAGGGAUAAACCUACCCUCGUGAGGGUAGCUGAAGGUACUAUACGAAUAAGCACCGGCUAACUCCGUGCCAGCAGCCGCGGCAAUACGGAGGGUGCAAGCGUUAUCCGGAUUUAUUGGGUUUAAAGGGUCCGUAGGCGGACUUAUAAGUCAGUGGUGAAAGCCUGUCGCUUAACGAUAGAACUGCCAUUGAUACUGUAAGUCUUGAGUAUAUUUGAGGUAGCUGGAAUAAGUAGUGUAGCGGUGAAAUGCAUAGAUAUUACUUAGAACACCAAUUGCGAAGGCAGGUUACCAAGAUAUAACUGACGCUGAGGGACGAAAGCGUGGGGAGCGAACAGGAUUAGAUACCCUGGUAGUCCACGCCGUAAACGAUGCUAACUCGUUUUUGGGCUUUAGGGUUCAGAGACCAAGCGAAAGUGAUAAGUUAGCCACCUGGGGAGUACGCUCGCAAGAGUGAAACUCAAAGGAAUUGACGGGGGCCCGCACAAGCGGUGGAUUAUGUGGUUUAAUUCGAUGAUACGCGAGGAACCUUACCAAGACUUAAAUGGGAAUUGACAGCUUUAGAAAUAGAGCCUUCUUCGGACAAUUUUCAAGGUGCUGCAUGGUUGUCGUCAGCUCGUGCCGUGAGGUGUUAGGUUAAGUCCUGCAACGAGCGCAACCCCUGUCACUAGUUGCCAUCAUUCAGUUGGGGACUCUAGUGAGACUGCCUACGCAAGUAGAGAGGAAGGUGGGGAUGACGUCAAAUCAUCACGGCCCUUACGUCUUGGGCCACACACGUAAUACAAUGGCCGGUACAGAGGGCAGCUACACAGCGAUGUGAUGCAAAUCUCGAAAGCCGGUCUCAGUUCGGAUUGGAGUCUGCAACUCGACUCUAUGAAGCUGGAAUCGCUAGUAAUCGCGCAUCAGCCAUGGCGCGGUGAAUACGUUCCCGGGCCU
rnacentral:rRNA from 1 species